rnacentral:rRNA from 1 species
GUGGUUUAAUUCGAAGCAACGCGCAGAACCUUACCAACCCUUGACAUCCCUAUCGCGAUUACCAGAGAUGGUUUUCAUCAGUUCGGCUGGAUAGGUGACAGGUGCUGCAUGGCUGUCGUCAGCUCGUGUCGUGAGAUGUCGGGUUAAGUCCCUUAACGAGCGAAACCCUUAUCUCUAGUUGCCAGCGAGUAAUGUCGGGGACUCUAGAGAGACCGCCGGUGUCAAACCGGAGGAAGGUGGGGAUGACGUCAGGUCAUCAUGGCCCUUACGGCCAGGGCUACACACGUGCUACAAUGGUGCGUACAGAGGGCUGCAAACCCGCGAGGGGGAGCUAAUCUCACAAAACGCAUCGUAGUCCGGAUCGGAGUCUGCAACUCGACUCCGUGAAGUCGGAAUCGCUAGUAAUCGCGGAUCAGAAUGCCGCGGUGAAUACGUUCCCGGGCCUUGUACACACCGCCCGUCACACCAUGGGAGUGGAUUGCACCAGAAGUGGUUAGUCUAACCGUAAGGGGGACGAUCACCACGGUGUGGUUCAUGACUGGGGUGAAGUCGAAACAAGGUAGCCCUAGGGGAACCUGCGGCUGGAUCACCUCCUU